AUUUAUCCAUGUUAACGUUUUGUUUUUAGUUUGGGGCUCAUAGGAAUCAUACUGCCAUGAAUUUCUUCGUAUGUAUCUUGUGGUGCAAUUGCUGGGUCAGAGGGUAAAGAUAUGUUGCUCAUUUUUAGGAAAUACUGCCAGUUCUCCACAGAACAAGAACGAAGUGACACUCUUACCAGCAGAGGAUCAAAGCCCCUGACAACAGUGGUGAGUGUAAGUGACGGCAGUGACCAAAACCGAACGAGAGAUGCCGCUGCCCUACAGGAGUCCACAGACCACGGGACUUAGACAGCAAAGAUUUGCUCUCAAAGGAAUGUUCAAGAAGGAGUGGCAGUAAGAAGGACAGCAUCUAAAGAC